rnacentral:tRNA from 1 species
GGGGGCGUGGCGCAGCGGGAGCGCACCUGUCUGGCAGACAGGGGGUCGUGGGUUCAAAUCCCAUCGUCUCCA